rnacentral:rRNA from 1 species
AUUGAACGCUGGCGGAAUGCUUUACACAUGCAAGUCGAGCGGCAGCGCGGUCUUCGGACUGGCGGCGAGCGGCGAACGGGUGAGUAAUACAUCGGAACAUGCCCAGUCGUGGGGGAUAACACUUCGAAAGAAGUGCUAAUACCGCAUACGUCCUGAGGGAGAAAGCGGGGGAUCGCAAGACCUCGCGCGAUUGGAGUGGCCGAUGUCAGAUUAGCUAGUUGGUGGGGUAAAGGCCUACCAAGGCAACGAUCUGUAGCUGGUCUGAGAGGAUGAUCAGCCACACUGGGACUGAGACACGGCCCAGACUCCGACGGGAGGCAGCAGUGGGGAAUUUUGGACAAUGGGGGCAACCCUGAUCCAGCCAUUCCGCGUGAGUGAGGAAGGCCUUCGGGUUGUAAAGCUCUUUCGGCAGGAACGAAACGGCGAGCUCUAACAUAGCUCGCUAAUGACGGUACCUGAAGAAGAAGCACCGGCUAACUGCGUGCCAGCCGCCGCCGUAACAC